GCCAGUGUGGUGUAGUGGUUUGAACGUUGGACUAUGAUUCUGGGGAACAGGAUUCUAAUCCCUGCUUGGCCA